GAUUGGCUAACGACAGUGCCUAUGGAUCAAUUAUUAACACCCCCAGCCAGAACAUUUGCGGGUGAUGCAUUCGAAGCGAUGGCUCUUGUACCUCUGCAGCCGGGACAGUCAUUCAAGUUCACGGUGCUGGAGACUCUGGACCGCAUUAAAGAGGAGUUCCAGUUCCUUCAGGCUCAGUACCACAGUCUCAAAAUAGAGUGUGAGAAGUUGGCCAGCGAGAAGACAGAGAUGCAGCGCCACUAUAUCAUGGUGAGCUUUUCAACCCUCAUAUCGUCAGAUCUGCCGUACCAUCAACAGCAGGUUGUUCAGGCGGUGGAACGUGCCAAACAGGUCACCAUGGCAGAGCUCAACGCCAUCAUUGGGCAGCAGCAGCUCCAGCACCUGUCUCACCACACUCCAGGUAUUCCUCUCACUCCUCACCCUUCAGGUCUGUCUCUGGGCGGCACAUCAGGGCUGCUGGCCCUCACCGGGGCUCUAGGAGUCUCCGCCCACCUGGCCAGCAAGGACGAACGCAAUCAUCUAGACCCCGAGCACCUGCGAGGUGAGGGUCCAUCUGAACUGUCUAUGUGCAUUUUUAAUCAAAAUGCCUUCAUGCUCUUGAUUCUCCUUAACUCUUUCACUCUGUGUUUUCAGGAGCCGUCCUCUCCUGUAGGCAGUGGCCCUCUGUCUCCACAUGGGAAUGGUUUGGAUCGAGCCCCGACCCUAAGGAAAGAGCUCCCAGGAUCCCCUAGUCCCCCUCCGGCCUCCCCACCACACAGCCCACCCCCUGGCAAAAACAAGGACAUGGCACAAACAGAAAAAUCUCAGUCGCCCUCCUCUAAAUCAGGCAAUUCCUCUCCCUCUCACCAUGACCCUCUCACCCCUGGUCCACCUGGGCCCAGCACUUCCUGUUUACGCCUGGUCAACAAACCUGGCUCCUCGGCAGACCCUCUGGGUGAGAGAUUGUCUGUUUGUGCUUGCAGCCAUCACAUGCUACAAUUCAGUACAAAUAAUAGUUUAAUUGUGUGUCCUGUAGCUCUGCGGAGUCCCUUGACCAUGACGCCCGGUUCCUACCCGGCUCACUUCGGGGUGGUGUCCCACGCUGGGCUUAACGGAGAGCUGGCCAGCCCGGGCGGCUUCGGAGGCUCGCUCACCCUCUCGCCCCAAAUCAGUGCUGCAGCCAGUGCCUACACACGCAGCCCUAUGGUAGCGUACGAAUCUCGUUCACAUCUUAGGCCCUCAGGGCUGUCCUCCUCUCUGCCUGGCUCCUCUGGUGGCAAGCCUGCUUACUCGUUCCACGUGAGCGCAGAUGGUCAAAUGCAGCCGGUGCCCUUCCCUCCUGACGCCCUCCUCGGCCUAGGCAUCGCACGGGCCGCCCGCGAGAUCCACACCCUCAGUCAUGGAGAGGUGGUUUGCGCGGUGACCAUCAGCACCGCCACGCGUCACGUCUACACCGGCGGGAAAGGCUGCGUCAAAGUGUGGGACAUCAGCCAACCGGGCAGCAAGAGUCCAAUGGCCCAACUGGACUGUUUGAAUCGAGACAACUACAUCAGAUCAUGUAAGAUUCUUCCAGAUGGGCGGACUUUGAUAGUCGGGGGCGAGGCCAGCACGCUAUCAAUCUGGGACUUGGCCACGCCCACUCCACGCAUCAAAGCCGAACUGACGUCCACGGCUCCGGCAUGCCACGCUAUGGCCAUCAGUCCCGACAACAAGGUCUGCUUCUCCUGCUGCAGUGACGGGAACAUCGUGGUCUGGGACCUGAGAGAGGGUCGACAGCUGCAGCAGCAUGACUUCACGUCACAGAUCUUUUCUCUGGGUUACUGUCCUACGGGCGAGUGGCUUGCAGUGGGGAUGGAGAGCAGUAAUGUAGAAGUGCUGCACGUCUCCAAACCAGACAAAUACCAGCUGCACCUUCACGAAAGCUGCGUUCUCUCGCUCAAGUUUGCCUACUGCGGGAAGUGGUUUGUAAGCACAGGAAAGGACAAUCUGCUCAAUGCAUGGAGGACACCGUAUGGAGCCAGUAUUUUCCAGUCAAAGGAGUCCUCAUCUGUCCUGAGCUGUGACGUGUCCCCAGACGACAAAUAUAUUGUAACUGGUUCUGGGGAUAAGAAAGCCACGGUGUAUGAGGUGGUGUAUUGAACACAAAGAUGGACGGAUGGAUGGAUGAACAUACAGCGGCAAGUAAAUGAGAGAAAUGCUUGAGAGGUCCUAACACAGAGCCCUGAUGCACACCAUCAGUAAGAAGAGCUGUGGUUGCCAACCUGACCAGGAAUGUUCAAGGAGAGACACUACAGGAUUCACAUGCACCAAACAUCCUGCUGGGAACAGAUUUUUUUUAUUAUUACAGUUUUGUUUUAUUCAUUCUUCUUUUGAUCUAUAAAGCUUUUCUCAGCACUCAGAAAAUGGUUGGAUGAGUCAAACCAUUUUUGUUUGUGAACAGAAGAAAUUGUAUCAGGUUCUUUCUCUUUUGUAUGGCAAUAGUAAGCAGUGUUACUACAGUGUUUUGAUCAGUCUGUUUAUGGAGAAAGUGCAGUGUUUAUUUUUUUCUUUUUCGAAUUGCUGAAAAUAUGGCUGCCUGCAAACACUGGCAUUUGUCCGUUUCAAGACAGACCGGCUCUGCUGCACGAUCUGUCUUUGACAUUAUGCUAUCUUAAUAUCUGUAUCUAUCUAUCCUUAUAUAACGCAUUGUUUGUAUACUGAGAACAAUGUUCACCGUCAAGAUUUUGUUAAAGACGCUCUCUCUUGAAAGCCAAGGAACUUUUUCGAAGGCAUCGCUGUGAUAUCCCUGUAGCACUUCCCAUGUGAUGUAAAAGAUGUGUACAUUGACAAAUUAAACUUGUGGUCAUCUUUUGAAGUUGUUGAGUUCUUGAGAAGUGGUUCAAUUUCAAACAAUAAUUAAAAAAUAUAUAAAUACCAGCUCAUGCCAAUGCAAAUUUUAUUUAUAUAGAAUUGUUUACAAUAACAAAUAGUAAUAAUUGUAUUACAAUAUCAAAUUGUAAUAAUUGUAAUAAAUGUAAAUUGUAUUACA
ensembl:lncRNA